GGAAGGGCUGGGUGGUUGUCGCUCUCAUCCCUGUCUCGAUUCCUAGGAAAUGCUCAGCUGUUUUCCUGGAGAGUUGACUUUGGUCCCUUGUUCUCUACAAAGUCAAAGAGAGGUUACCAGGGCACUCAUCAGUUCGGACUUGACCAACCUCUCUGAGACUCCAAGCCAGAAGGUGACUGGUACCUUGGUGGCCCACCAGGUACAUAAUUCCAGCAAGAGACCCGAAACAAGAUGUACAAAAUGUCUCCCACUCCGUGAGGCUCCUGGUGGUGAACAUCCAGUCCUGGUCAUCCUCAUGCUCGCCACCCUCACAUGA
rnacentral:lncRNA from 1 species